rnacentral:rRNA from 1 species
UGGGGAAUUUUGGACAAUGGGGGAAACCCUGAUCCAGCCAUCCCGCGUGUGCGAUGAAGGCCUUCGGGUUGUAAAGCACUUUUGGUAGGAAAGAAACGUCAUGGGUUAAUACCCCGUGAAACUGACGGUACCUGCAGAAUAAGCACCGGCUAACUACGUGCCAGCAGCCGCGGUAAUACGUAGGGUGCAAGCGUUAAUCGGAAUUACUGGGCGUAAAGCGUGCGCAGGCGGUUCGGAAAGAAAGAUGUGAAAUCCCAGAGCUCAACUUUGGAACUGCAUUUUUAACUACCGGGCUAGAGUGCGUCAGAGGGAGGUGGAAUUCCGCGUGUAGCAGUGAAAUGCGUAGAUAUGCGGAGGAACACCGAUGGCGAAGGCAGCCUCCUGGGAUAACACUGACGCUCAUGCACGAAAGCGUGGGGAGCAAACAGG